UACGAAGGGGGCUAGCGUUGUUCGGAUUUACUGGGCGUAAAGCGCACGUAGGCGGAUUGUUAAGUCGGGGGUGAAAUCCUGGAGCUCAACUCCAGAACUGCCUUCGAUACUGGCAAUCUAGAGUCCGGAAGAGGUGAGUGGAACUCCUAGUGUAGAGGUGGAAUUCGUAGAUAUUAGGAAGAACACCAGUGGCGAAGGCGGCUCACUGGUCCGGUACUGACGCUGAGGUGCGAAAGCGUGGGGAGCGAAUGGG
rnacentral:rRNA from 1 species